CACGUGAGAGGCAGUGAACUGAUUCCCCUCGUAGACCCGCACCAGAACAAAUUAUAAUUGUAUCACUUCAAAAGACAUUCAUUUAACCACUGGAUCAAAUGGAUUACUUUUAUACUGCCUUUAUGUGCUUUUUGUAUCUUAUGAGUUCUGGUCACCAUUCACUUGCAUUGUUUGGACCUACAGAGCUGAAAUAUUUUUCUAAAAAUCCUCAUUUGUGUUCUGCAGAAGAAAGAAAGUAAUACACAUCUGGGAUAGCAUGAGGUGCACCAGUGCAGAGGAGGGAGAAGCCGCUGAAAUGCUCUGGCAGAUUCAGCAGAGGUGAAUGAACAGUAGAAAUUCAGCACAAUGAGCAUGACUGUUCAGCUCCGAAGAGAAAAUCUGAAUGAGUGGUUCCAUACCAGCUUCUUUUAUGCCCGUAUGUCCGGGGGAGUAGCAUGCAAAUACUACUCGCCAAUAUUCAUUGACCUUUUAUCAAAGACCAGAGGUGUCUUGGGCUCCCAAGAGUGACCCCUAGUGUCCUUAGUGUCACUACAUCGACACAACGUCGAGUGAGUGACAGAUAGGGAACUUUCCGCAAUGAGAACUGAAUAGAGACUAGGCCAAAUAGGGGAGGCAGAGGCAAAAUUCUGACUGACCAACAAGAGCGGGCUGUGGUCAAUUUGGUUUGGGCCAGAAAUAAUAUUCGCCUUACAGACAUUCAGCAGCACAUCUUGGACAAUGACGACAUGUUCAGCAGUGUGGAAACCAUAAGUUUGCAGACUAAUGCACACAUGCUGAAAAGGAACCAGGUGUCUCUAAAACAGCUAUACUGUGUGCCUUUUGAAAUAAAUGCAGACAGAGUGAAGCUGAGGACUGGGGACUGUAAUCAGUAAUUCUCUUUCCAAAAUGUUUUUUUAGAGGGUGAUGGAGCUGGAUGCUGAUGAAAACCAUCACAAAUUCAUCUUUUUGGAUGAGGCAGGCUUCAACCUGACCAAGACAAGGAGGAGAGGUCAGAAUUUCAUUGGCCAGCAGGCAACCAUCCAAGUACCUGGACAAUGUGGGACCAACAUCACCAUGUGUGCGGCUAUAUCAGAAGAUGGUGUGGUGGGAUGCAAUCCUUGUAACCUUCCUUGAUUAGCUAAAUCAGGUCUGUAGAGCUGAUGGGGUGACCUAUGUCAUUGUGUGGGAUAAUGUCAGGUUCCACCAUGCUCAACUGGUGCAAGCAUGGUUUCAGGCCCAUCCACCAUUUACCACCCUGUACUUAUCCCCAUUCUCUACUUUCCUUAACCUGAUUGAGGAAUUCUUCUCCACAUGGAGGUGGAAGGUAUAUGAUAGGUGCCCUCACGAACAAGUCAUCCUUCUCCAGGCCAUGGAUGACGCAUGCAAUGACAUCACGGCAGACCAGUGUCAGGCCUGGAUUUGCCAUGCCCGAAGAUUCUUCCCAAGAUGUUUGGCUAAUGAAAACAUCCAUUGUGAUGUAGAUGAGAACCUGUGGCCAAAUCCACAAGACAGGGUUGAUGGAAAAAUAGAAGUACAAUAAUCAGUCCUUUGUUUUACUUUUUACAGUAAG